AUAUUAGAAAGGUCUCUCUUGCUCUCUCUGUACUUGAAUGGGAAUGAAAUAUUAGAAAAAGCUCUCUCUCUCUCUCUCUCUCUCUCUCUCUCUGUCAGUACCGGAAAGGGUAUUAGAAAGGGUUUUCCCUCUCAGUAAAUAUCACUGAAGAUAAUGGAAUUCAGUGGUUCUAGAAUUAACGUAAAGACAGCAAACCAUAAUGAUUAACAAUAAUAAUGUGUCAAGGCCUAACUGCCUUAGUACAAUAAACUUGCCGGUAAAUAGUUACUUUUAACGCCAACCCGUUCCAGUCCCAACCAACCAAUAGGAGAACCCCUUUUAAAAACUUCCCACCCACCAACCAAUGGGAGAACCCCUGCUAUAAACCUCCCACCCACCAGCCAAUGGGAGAAGACUUUAGAAAAUGGAGUUUCCAAUGUGGCCAGGGUGGGGGGUCGCCGAUUGGCCAAGAGGAAAUUUAGGAUGACUGCUGUAGCCUUGAGCCUUCAGUUCACCAGUUCUAAGACGGCAGCCAUUAUCUGUGUUUCGGCACAGACAAUGUUUUGAUAACGUGUGUUUUCAAGUAGAUAAUUUUUAAUAUAUCUCAUGAUGGCGUAGACCUUCCACGAAACAUUUCUUGAACUGGAUACAAUAAGCACGAGACUUCAUGCUAAGACUUGAAACGGAAAUCUCUAGCUUCAGAAAUUAGGGCCUUUGGAAUGAUCAACAUAAGGAAAUGGAGAUUGAUAGAUAGAUAGAGAGAAGUUGAGUAGUAUACUCAGUCCAGAGCCAGCGAGCGAGCCCAGAAAGAGAGAGCAUAGAAGACCUCUGCUGAGGAGUCCAGUCCAGAGACAGCUAAGCCGAGCAAAGCAGAACGGAGAAGUCUGUCCAAAAAGAACAGAACAGAGAAGGGUCAAGCUGACGUCAUCCCAGAGAAGAAUGAACAGAGUUGAGAGAGCAGAGCAUAAAGCUUUACCGUGAAGUCAGUCCAGAGAAAGGACGGAUUACCGAGAAGCCAGUCCAGAGCAAGAGAAAGUAGAGGAGAUUACCGAGAAGUCAGUCCAGAGGAAGCAGAGGAGAUUACAAUGAAGUCAGUCCAGAGAAAGGAGGGAUUACCGAGAAAAAAGUCCAGAGCAAGAGGAAGCCUAGGACUUUACAAUGAAGAUAGUUCAGAGAAAGAAGAGGAGAUUACAAUGAAGUCAGUCCAGAGAAAGGAGGGAUUACCGAGAAAGAAGUCAAGAGGAAGCCUAGGACUUUACAAUGAAGACAGUUCAGAGAAAGAAGAGGAGAUUACAAUGAAGUCAGUCCAGAGAAAGCAGAGGAGAUUACAAUGAAGUCAGUCCAGAGAAAGAAGUCAAGAGGAAGC